AAAAGGCAAAGCAGGCAUUCGUUUCUGCCUUUCUGGACCCGAAAGUAAAACACAACAGAAGAAGAAGAAAAUGGAAGUGAUGGAAGCAAGGGGUGGAGCUGGACUGGGGCAUCCCCAGCAAGGUUUGCAAACAAGAAUGGAAGAAGGCCUCAGGGACUUAAGAGCUACAAAACAUAGCAGCAAUGCAGUCGGUGCUUCCUUCGAAAAAUCCUUGGACAUUGUUAAUAGUUCAGCCAAUAAUGGUGUACCUGGCAAAAAGGAGAGGAGGAAGAGGAAGAAACUGAAGAAAGAGACUUGAGGGAGCUGUGCAGCUGCCAGAGUGCCAACACGAUGGGGCAGACAUGCCAAUGAGCUGCAAGGAUUCUGCUUUCUGCCAUGCCACUGAGCCCCAGGCAAGGAUAGGCUCCAGGAGACCUCCCAGCAAGAGGAAGAGAAGAGGAACAGUGAGCCAGAGAGUGUGAGUGUGUGAGAGACCAGAGAGAGGGAGCAGGCUGUGCACAGGAGGUGGUUUUGAAACAGAGUGGCUGUUCAUUGCAAGCUGCUGCCCUUGAUCAAAAGCUGUUGAAUGGGGUUUGACUGUUUGCAUUAAGUCCUUUCAGUUUUUUGCUGUAGCGUCGUUCGUCAACUUGUAGUGUUCUAUGCCAUUGUAGAAAUAGUCGGGCUGUACCUGACUGAUUGUACCUUGGUCCCAUGGAGGAUCCACCAGCCAGUCUGGUCUCCUCUGGCAUUUUUGCAGAGGUGCUCAUCGACAGGCUAGCAAUGUACAGAAGAAAGCACUGUUCAGGAACAAAGGGAGAAUAACACGGAUCGUUCUCCAGCCUCCUAACUCUUUUAAAUCCUUGGUAGCUGCUAUUGUCAGACUUUUGCCUCUUACCUUGCCAUAUAUAUACUUUUUACCCCACAUCAGACUAGUUUGCUCCUCAAGGAACAUUUUUAAAGCAGGUUUUUAACUCGUUUGGAAAUAUGGUCUAAACCCAUUUUUCUCCCUGGAUUUCAUGGUGGGCUAAAGUUUAAAGUCUGUAUGUCCAAAGCAUGUUGCAUUUGUACUUAUAUUAGACUGAGGUAACUUUUAAAAAUAAUUUUUCUUAAUCUGAUGUUUGGAAGUUUUUUAUCAUUUUGUCAUGUGAAUAUUCUAAUACAAACUAAAUUUGUGAAUGAAGUUUUUAAGUCAGUUUAGUAUUUAUUGAAGGGUGUGCAUUUCUCCUUGGCAGAAGGUUCAUAGUAAGGAGGAGAGUAUGUGUUACAAUAGAAUACUGUGGUUUAUGAACAGUGCUGAAGUGACACCGCUAAAAGCAGAAGCCCUUUAUCCCCAGAGGAGCUGCAGCUUUGGUGGUAGCUGGGGAAGGGGGAGGUUUCAGACAGUCCUGAGACUGUGCCUGACCCAUCCCAGAAGCACUGCCUCAAAGGAUGAGAAAGUGUUUCUCAAAUCUCCAUCUGCAUUUGAUUCUGUGCCUUUGGAGAUGGUGGGGGAUGGCUACUGAUGCAUGUUAAUGUGUGCACAUUUGUAGGUUUUGGGCUGAUGUGAAACUCUUUUCUCUAGGACAGUGAAUAACCAGGGAUGUCUGUGGCUUUACACUCCCAGAGCUGCACUCCUCUUUGCAUUAUGGAGCCAGAGGAGAGCUCUGUGCUUCUGCCGUUGCAUCCCUGACCCUGAUCUCAGCUUGUCUAAGCUUUACCUGCAGCUCAGCACUUUUCCCUGAUGGCCUUCAUCUGUUACAUAGUUGUCAAAUUAGCUGUACCCUUCAGAGAAGCAAUUAACUGCAGCAAUGUAUUUGUGUUUAGAGUUUAGCUACUGUAUGUUGAAGGGCAGUUUUCUUGUGCAGUGAUUUUUGGGGUAGUUAGCUGUACUGUGUGUUCUGAAAUUUAGAACAGUAGGGUUGUCUCAGACAGUCAGGGGAGGGGUAAUCUUAACUGAUGCCACUUAGCAGCCCACUGUCUAAGAUCUGCACAUCUUGGUGUUUGUGUCUCAGUGUGGGCAAAAUAUUGGCAGUUUAUGAAUGAACUGAACAUACCAAAGAGCUUUUAUCAGGAAAGUAACUGCUUUGGAAUAGAUGAAUAACAAGAAAAUACAUGGCCUUGCUGGGGGAAACAGGUACAGCAAGUUCAAGGACUUAGAAGAUGUGCUAAUGAGCAUGUGGGUAAUGAACAAAGUUCUGCUAUCUCUGAAGCCAGUGGAAAACAUUAAUUGUCCUCAUUGGGGUCAGGAUGUUGUCCAUGGCCUUUGCUUAGCAUUGAAGGUAACCUCUGUCAUCCAAAAGAAAAAAAAAAAAAAGACAUAAAGAGAAGCUCACAAGAUCACAAGAUUGGUAGGCUACAGAUUUCUUCUGCUUUUAUUUCUCUGUAUCUGCUUGUAAACUUUUUUGAUGUCUUUGUAAUUAUGCUUUAUUUAAACAUUUUUCAGUAUUUUAAAUGUCACUGCUUUUAUAAUAAAAAAUUAAAAC